rnacentral:rRNA from 1 species
GAUGAACGCUAGCUACAGGCUUAACACAUGCAAGUCGAGGGGCAGCAUGACGAUAGCUUGCUAUUGUUGAUGGCGACCGGCGCACGGGUGAGUAACGCGUAUCCAACCUGCCCUUGUCCACCGGAUAACCCGUCGAAAGGCGGACUAACACGGUAUGCAGUCCACAGCAGACAUCUAACGUGGACGAAAUGUGAAGGAGAAGGAUGGGGAUGCGUCUGAUUAGCUUGUUGGCGGGGUAACGGCCCACCAAGGCGACGAUCAGUAGGGGUUCUGAGAGGAAGGUCCCCCACAUUGGAACUGAGACACGGUCCAAACUCCUACGGGAGGCAGCAGUGAGGAAUAUUGGUCAAUGGGCGAGAGCCUGAACCAGCCAAGUAGCGUGCAGGAAGACGGCCCUAUGGGUUGUAAACUGCUUUUAUACGGGGAUAAAGUGAGUCACGUGUGGCUUAUUGCAGGUACCGUAUGAAUAAGGACCGGCUAAUUCCGUGCCAGCAGCCGCAGUAACAC